GACGAACGCUGGCGGCGUGCCUAACACAUGCAAGUCGAGCGGUAACAGGUGUAGCAAUACAUGCUGACGAGCGGCGGACGGGUGAGUAACGCUUGGGAAUCUGCCUAUUAGUGGGGGACAACCCGGGGGAACUCGGGCUAAUACCGCAUACGCUCUACGGAGGAAAGCCGGGGACCGCAAGGCCUGGCGCUAAUAGAUGAGCCCAAGUCGGAUUAGCUAGUUGGUAGGGUAAUGGCCUACCAAGGCGACGAUCCGUAACUGGUCUGAGAGGACGACCAGUCACACCGGAACUGAGACACGGUCCGGACUCCUACGGGAGGCAGCAGUGGGGAAUAUUGGACAAUGGGCGAAAGCCUGAUCCAGCGACGCCGCGUGGGUGAAGAAGGCCUGCGGGUUGUAAAG
rnacentral:rRNA from 1 species